CCUACGGGGGGCUACAGUGGGGAAUAUUGGACAAUGGGGGCAACCCUGAUCCAGCCAUGCCGCGUGUGUGAAGAAGGCCCUCGGGGUGUAAAGCACUUUCAGUGAGGAAGAACGCCUGGUGGUUAAUACCCAUCAGGAAAGACAUCACUCACAGAAGAAGCACCGGCUAACUCCGUGCCAGCAGCCGCGGUAAUACGGAGGGUGCGAGCGUUAAUCGGAAUUACUGGGCGUAAAGCGCGCGUAGGUGGCUUGAUAAGCCGGUUGUGAAAGCCCCGGGCUCAACCUGGGAACGGCAUCCGGAACUGUCAAGCUAGAGUGCAGGAGAGGAAGGUAGAAUUCCCGGUGUAGCGGUGAAAUGCGUAGAGAUCGGGAGGAAUACCAGUGGCGAAGGCGGCCUUCUGGACUGACACUGACACUGAGGUGCGAAAGCGUGGGUAGCAAACAGGAUUAGAUACCCCGGUAGUC
rnacentral:rRNA from 1 species